rnacentral:lncRNA from 1 species
AGACCUGAGAGAAGCAAGGCUGCAGAGAAACUGUAGCCAUCACCAAACAACAAAUCAAAGGGAAGUGUCUCAGGAGAGAUUUCUAAUUAUCAUACAUUUGUCCUUGCAGCCAAACCAGGAUGCAGUGGAAAUGGUGCCUUUGGCACUAGCAUCUUAGGUCACAAAAUCAGAAUGAGUUCUUGGCCUUGGCUGUUGAGGACAGAACGUCCUGAGCCAAAUGGGACAGUGGCUGAGUGAGGACACCAAACCUAUUCUUAGGAGUUGUCUUGAAAUUCUUACUAACUUUUGAACGUGGAACCCUACAUCUUCGUUUUGUACUGGUCCCCACAUAUUUUAUAGCUGAUCUGAAGGAGGAGAGAGAGAUGAUGGGGGAUGAAGGGUAUGGAAUUGUAUGCUAUGGCUGCCUGCUGUCGAAGUUCUCCAGGUCCAGAGAGGAUUUAAGUUGCUGGAAUAAUCCACCCAGUCUUCGAGAUGUGAUUAUAUAAUUGAUGGUAUGUGGAUAUCACUGAUCACAAAACACAAUAAAGGACCUAAGGCAACAUCUUUGUUCUUUCUCAAUGUGGGGAAAAUGUUUUUGUUCUACUUGGAUCGGUGGCUCACGCCUAUAAUCCCAGCACUUUGGGA